AACGAACGCUGGCGGCAUGCCUAACACAUGCAAGUCGAACGAAGCCUUCGGGCUUAGUGGCGCACGGGUGCGUAACACGUGGGAAUCUGCCCUUAGGUACGGAAUAACUCAGGGAAACUUGAGCUAAUACCGUAUGAUGUCUUCGGACCAAAGAUUUAUCGCCUGAGGAUGAGCCCGCGUCGGAUUAGCUAGUUGGUGGGGUAAAGGCCCACCAAGGCGACGAUCCGUAGCUGGUCUGAGAGGAUGAUCAGCCACACUGGGACUGAGACACGGCCCAGACUCCUACGGGAGGCAGCAGUGGGGAAUAUUGGACAAUGGGCGAAAGCCUGAUCCAGCAAUGCCGCGUGAGUGAAGAAGGCCUUCGGGUUGUAAAGCUCUUUUACCCGGGAAGAUAAUGACUGUACCGGGAGAAUAAGCCCCGGCUAACUCCGUGCCAGCCGCCGCUGUAA
rnacentral:rRNA from 1 species